UCCAAAGAGUAACUCUUUGCUGAAGUGACUUCACAGAGGGAAGUAAGCAGUAAUUCAACUCAGCCUUAGAUAGAAAGCUUCUCUGUGAAUAAUGGGAAAUAAAGUUAAAGGAAAUGAUGCAAAUAAAGCAAGAAAAAAAUACUGCUGAUCAGAAAAAAGAAAAGUAUUUGAGGUCUGAAAGAUCCUCAAAAUAGAGAAGAGCCAAUGACUUCAUACACCGAAUCGGCUAAAUCCUGUCUCACAUUUUCAUUGUAGCCAGAAGAGCCACUCUGGUCAAGUAGAAACCCUGAAGUUUGCCAUCAUUUCAUCCAGGGUCUGCAGGAUAAACUCUACUGGGAAGAGUACUCCUGUCAUGGACCCUCAGAUGAACAAGCAUUUAUAAAGGCUACUGACAAUAUUUCUUAAUCAAAAGGCGGAGUUUUGCUCUUGUUGCCCAGGCUGGAGUACAAUGGCGCAAUCUCAGCUCACCGCAACCUCUGCCUCCUGGAUUCAAGCAAUUC